AGAGAGAGACAUGCGCGCACAUCAAUAAGCGGAGGAAAAGAAACUAACAAGGAUUCCCUUAGUAACGGCGAGUGAAGCGGGAAGAGCUCAAAUUUGAAAUCUUCAAGGUUUUACCUUGACGAAUUGUAGUUUAAAGAAGUGUUUUCUGCUGAAGUUUUGGUAAAAGUUCUUUGGAAUAGGACAUCAUAGAGGGUGAGAAUCCCGUAUUUGACCAUUAUUUUCAGCUUUGUGAUACACUUUCAAAGAGUCGGAUUGUUUGGGAAUGCAGUCCAAAAUGGGUGGUAAAUUUCAUCUAAAGCUAAAUAUUGGCGAGAGACCGAUAGCGAACAAGUACCGUGAGGGAAAGAUGAAAAGAACUUUGAAAAGAGAGUUAAACAAUACGUGAAAUUGUCAAAAGGGAAGCGUUUGACACCAGUGUUGUUUUCUCGAAAAUCAAUUAAAAAUGGCUCGAUUUUGUAUUGUUGAGACCUUAAAAGCUCACUGUACAUUUUUCGUGUCUUUUUUAAUGCACUUUUCGUUUAACAAGUCAACAUCAGUUUCUUUUGUUGUAAAAGGGUCAUUGGAAGGUGGCUUUCUUUUCGGAGAAAGUGUUUAUAGCCUUUGGCCUCUGCAAUCGGAGAGACUGAGGUCUGCAGCGUAGACUCUUCGGGGUUAGAUACAUUUGUGCUAAGUUAUAGCUUUUUCUAUAGACAACUUGUUGACUAUAAUUAGUCUUGUAGCUUACUCGCUUAUGCUAUUUUACCUACGCUUAGGAUGUUGAAGUCAUCGUAUCGCGC
rnacentral:rRNA from 1 species